rnacentral:rRNA from 1 species
GCUUGCUUCUUGCUGACGAGUGGCGGACGGGUGAGUAACGCGUAGGAAUCUACCCAUCUGUGGGGGAUACCAGUUGGAAACGACUGUUAAUACCGCAUAAUAUCUGCGGAUUAAAGGUGGCCUUUGUGCUGCCGCAGAUGGAUGAGCCUGCGUUAGAUUAGCUUGUUGGUGGGGUAAGGGCCUACCAAGGCUACGAUCUAUAGCUGAUUUGAGAGGAUGAUCAGCCACAUUGGGACUGAGACACGGCCCAAACUCCUACGGGAGGCAGCAGUGGGGAAUAUUGGACAAUGGGCGAAAGCCUGAUCCAGCAAUGCCAUGUGUGUGAAGAAGGCUCUAGGGUUGUAAAGCACUUUAGUUGGGGAGGAAAGCUUAUGAGUUAAUAGCUCAUAGGAAGGACGUUACCCAAAGAAUAAGGACCGGCUAACUCCGUGCCAGCAGCCGCGGUAAUACGGGGGGUCCGAGCGUUAAUCGGAAUUACUGGGCGUAAAGGGUCUGUAGGUGGUUUGUUAAGUCAGAUGUGAAAGCCCAGGGCUCAACCUUGGAACUGCAUUUGAUACUGGCAAACUAGAGUAUAGUAGAGGAAUGGGGAAUUUCUGGUGUAGCGGUGAAAUGCGUAGAGAUCAGAAGGAACACCAAUGGCGAAGGCAACAUUCUGGACUAAUACUGACACUGAGGGACGAAAGCGUGGGGAUCAAACAGGAUUAGAUACCCUGGUAGUCCACGCUGUAAACGAUGAGUACUAGCUGUUGGAGUCGGUGUAAAGGCUCUAGUGGCGUAGCUAACGCGUUAAGUACUCCGCCUGGGGACUACGGCCGCAAGGCUAAAACUCAAAGGAAUUGACGGGGA